UAACUCGUUAAACCUUGCUAAAAUCCAAUUGCUAACAAUUUAACCUUGCACAAUCUACUUGGGUUAAAAUUGUAUAAUGAAAAAUGUGUAAAAAAACGAAUUAAAAAAUAUUGUACUUGUAAAUCUUGUCCAACUCAAAGACAGCGCCCGUCGACUUGAGAGUUAAUUUGCUUUUAAUCAAACUGGCAUGCAAACAAAUUACAUAUUAAAUAGAGGUGCACAAUAACGAUAUUUUAAGUCUAUCAGCUCCUUUUCCUGUUUGCCGGACUUUAACCUAACCUAACCUAUCGUGUGAGAUGCUACUUUCUUCGACCAACUGUUGUGUGUGUACAUCUGCAAGACGACGAGGGCAACAUAAGAGAUCACUGCACUCAGAUUACAUUUAAUAAUAAUAAUAAUAAUAACAUUAUGUUAUCGACGCAAACCGAUAUCCGUACAAAUAGCCCAUACCGGAAUCGGAUCAAAGCACAACACUAUAUUUUCUGUGUGUACACUUUACUCCGGACUUUGUCUUUUUCUGCACGAACCGAGCAAGAAAACCGAAAAAAUAGCAACUGAAAAAGUGCAAUCCGCCACAACCGUCUCAAAAGAUUUAAUGAGAAAUCUCAAUACAAUGCCAUAGACCAAACGGUACAUUAUAUAUUGUAAUGUAGAAUUAUGUAUUGAUAUACUUUAAAAAAUAAACCAGACUUUUCC